GAAAAGUUUGCAUAGCCCUGAAGUUCUAUAAAUCUACCAUCAAAUCUAGUAUUUGUUUUGUGUUAAACCCAGAGAAUAUGAACGAUCCAAAAUAUGGUUAUCCUUACCCUCCUCCAGGAGCUUAUAUAGGGCCACCGGCAGUUACGGCACCACCGCAAUAUUAUGCAGCUGCACCGCCACCAAGAGAGGUCGGCUUUCUUGAAGGAUGCCUUGCAGCUUUAUGUUGCUGCUGUUUAUUUGAUGAAUGUUGCUGUGAUCCUUCUGUUGUAUUCAUCACUUAAUUAAUGAUACUUAUUUAUAUUCA